rnacentral:rRNA from 1 species
AGCGAACGCUGGCGGCAGGCCUAACACAUGCAAGUCGAACGAACCUUUCGGGGUUAGUGGCGGACGGGUGAGUAACACGUGGGAACGUGCCUUUAGGUUCGGAAUAACUCAUGGAAACUUGUGCUAAUACCGAAUGUGCCCUUCGGGGGAAAGAUUUAUCGCCUUUAGAGCGGCCCGCGUCUGAUUAGCUAGUUGGUUGAGGUAAUGGCUCACCAAGGCGACGAUCAGUAGCUGGUCUGAGAGGAUGAUCAGCCACAUUGGGACUGAGACACGGCCCAAACUCCUACGGGAGGCAGCAGUGGGGAAUCUUGCGCAAUGGGCGAAAGCCUGAAGCAGCCAUGCCGCGUGAAUGAUGAAGGUCUUAGGAUUGUAAAAUUCUUUCACCGGGGACGAUAAUGACGGUACCCGGAGAAGAAGCCCCGGCUAACUUCGUG